AUAUCCUUAGUAUCCUCUCGAAUACCAAUCGUUCAGUCAUGGCCGUCGGCGAAGAAGGAAUGAGAGCAGAACUGUAAAAGAUGGCUGCUCAGGCUGACAUGGUGACGAACAAGUCUCUAGAUAGCACGAGAAGGAUGCUGGCAAUGGCAGAGGAAACUAGAAAUAUUGGAACUACCACAAUGGAAACUCUGGAUGAACAGGGAGGUUUUGGCACGCCUAGGAGAACUGGAGGGAUACAGAGUAUUCGGGAUACAUUAUGAGAGUGAGCAAUGAUGCAAGGGAGGACGAGAUGGAUGAGAACAUUGGAUAGGCAUAUUUGCAAUUCUUCUUUCGUCAUUCAUUGUUGUGACCGGAUGGAACGGUGAUCGGCAAGUUGUUUGAAUUGUUGAAGUCUUAAAGGAAAUCGCCAUCGAUAUGGGGACGGAGGUGGACAAGCAGAACGCUCAACUUGUAAUCAUCAAUAAAAAGGCUGAUCUGACCGAGGGCAGAGUGCGAAUGGCAGACCAGCGAACAAAGGAUCUUCUAAAUUUGUAACCAUUUGACAACACAGAAGGUUCAGACAUAAUUAAUUGAGAAGACUAUUAUUUUAGCAUUGAUUCUAUUAUAUGCAUAUUUAGAUCAUAGAAAAUUGUACAUAUUUAAAUAUUAACCAGUUGUAGGUAAGAAUUCUAUGUGUAGACAGAAACUGAAAUUUUGCUGCAAACAAGGACAUUGAUGAAA